CAAACAAGCAGCUGCUGGAGGAGAGUGGGUGAGUUAUGUUUGGUCUUUUUGCCAAAAGAACCAGGCAAAGCUAAAAAGAUGUUUGAUUGUUAGUACUACGUGUUUAGGGUGACCAUAUGUCCUCUUUUACCUGGACAUGUCCUCUUUUGGGGGGACUGUCUAGGCUUUUCUUAGAGUUAGAAGUGCGUGAAAGACCCUUGAUCCGAACCGAAAAACUCUCAAGAUUAACUUUGUGCAACUCUGUGACUCCGCCCCCGUGUUGUUGCAUCCUCUUUUUGGGAAGUCAGAAUAUGGUCACCCUAUACGUGCUGGGACCCUAUAUGUACUGCUGAUGAAGUAAGGUGCUGUUCUGAGCAUUAUUUGUGGCUAUGAGUGGCUUUUUGGUUGAGGUUUGCACAUGGAGACAUAGACAUAGACAUAUUGCUAUCAUGUGGUCUUUGCCAAAGUUGGUGGAACGAAAGAAGCAAGCGGUCAGCGAAAUUCAUCUCUCGAGGGGGUGUCUAACUCAGUGUUACAGGAUGUUUGACCAUGGCUUAAACUUACGCCGGAAUUUCCCUUUAACUAGCUGACAAUGGAAGAGAUGGUCGAAUGGACCAAUCCUCAUCAGGUUGAGAGUGCAGUGUGUAAUCACAUGACUAUUUAUUUUAAUUAUUUUAAUUAUUGGAACAAUUCAGUGGAGGCUUCAUCUUUUGGGGUCAUGUCCUUUCUGUCCUGAGCCACGUCUGAGGUCCUUGCUUGAUACUGCUUGUCAAGUAUCGCCUCAAAAUUUGUGAGUUGCUUGAACCGUUUCAUACACAAACUUCACAUCACUCGUGUCUCUGCUGUCUCACUGUGACUCAGUUAAAUAUCCCAUUUGAGGCCAAUUUUUCAGCCGUUUUCCUCUAUAAUUUUGAAAAAUACUGUAUUGUAAUCAUUUUGAUUUACUGUAUGUUAUUUCAAAGCACAGACAGGAAGCUUGGUGUGGGAGUCUUGGGGUGCGGGGGACAGAGGGAAGAGCGCGACCCCACUGUUUGUGUUGGUAUGGCCACAGGGACCCAAUGAAAACAGAGCUGUCAGUAGCACUUCUAACUGCUGGGCUCUGUGUCAGCCCACAGACCAAAUAAACAGCAAUCAGCGCUGUACUAACCACUGUGACAGAACACACACACUCACACACACACAGACACACACACCAAAGCAAGAGCUUUAAGACCGGAGUCGAAUCACAGCAGAAGAGCAUGCAUACAGCACACACCCCUAUUCACACAUGCAUGCAUGCACACAAAUGCAUACACACGUCACUCACAAGUCCAAAAGCAAACAAGCCGGGAAGUCUGACUAAUUAAUGUUUUCAAUCCGGCCUCUGAGUGAUGUCAUGACAACACGUAAGUCAUACUCUCAGCUCGGUGAGCGCGUGACUUCCCACAAUCCUGAAAUGGACGUGUGUGGGCACACAGCAGCCGCAUGCAACCAGAACACCAAACACCUUCUUAAGCAUCAUUGACUGUUUUAUAUUGACAUCUUUUAUUACACAUUACAGUUGUCAUGUGUUUCAAUGAAGCAAGCCUGACCGUUCUUUGGAAGUUAAAGCUCCUGAGAGGAUGUUUCAAUUUGUGUCAAUUUUGGCGCCCCCCGUGGAUAAGCUUAUUAUUUCUUUUUUGUCCUCUACUUAUAUACUAAUAAGUUGUUGUUACACCAAACCUCAUAGGGCUGAAUUUUGACAGUCAAUGCAUCAUUCGUCAUGAAUAUUCUGGGCUGAACUCUUGCACUGAUUUCAGGCACCAAAAUUAAAAAUAUGAAAAUUUUAAAUCUUGUGACUGAUGGUCUUGUUUGUGUUUGUAUAUCAUAUAAAGGUAUCAAUAUGAAUUUUUAGUCUGUUUCAUAAACAUCAAAAACUCCUCAAAAAGAACUUGAAAGGACGAAAAAACAGUAUGACACACACAUAUAGGAAGGAAAUAUGCUAUAUGUUCACUUUACUACCAAUGAGAGCCAAUCUCGUCAAGUGCAAGCAAGUCAAAGCUAUGAGAGGAUGUCUUGUCAUUAUGUGAUUAAAAACUCCUCAUUAAAAUAUCAAGAGUUUGAAAUUUAAAGAUCAUUUUGAAUCUUUACCUAAUAAUUAUUAGUUUUUAUCACAUAGUUUUAGUUUUGCAUCUCACAAUUAUACUUAAUCUCAUAAUAAACAAUGAGAAUAUAAUUACUGUCUUCAUAUCAUGGAGAUUAUUUUUACUAUACAGGCAGACUUAUCGUCUUAAUUGUUUCUUUUAAUUCCCAAAACAGGCUUUUUUUUAUCAAUGCUGAUCAGCUAAUGCAAAUGUUGAAUUUGUCUGAAUUUGCUCUUAUAGAGUUUUAUUAAAAUGAAAAAUGUCUCUUUAUCUUGUCAUGGAAUAAAUCGAUCACUCCAAUGACCUGAAGAGAGACAGUUGUUGUCAAAAGACUGUCAUGUUUUCCAAGACUGUGUUUAUAAAAAGCUAUGCUGACUCAGCUCAUUUAAUCCCUGCAUACUGAAUUGUGUAGUAAGUAUGUAGUGAACUCCAUCAUUUUGUGGUGACGAUCUGUUUUAAAACAGGGCAGCGUUCAGAUCUUUUGAAUUAUUCUGUUUUAUACGACACUUCACCCUGACAUAACCAUCCUUCACGUCUUAUUACAGAAGACAUUAGUACUUAUAGACAUUCAUGGCAAUGCUUCAAAGGAAUUCCUCACUCCGACUGGAUUCAUAAAUAAAAAGAUAAAUGUCCUCGCGUUCUUAUUUUAGCAAAACCUCAAGAAUUUCUGAGCCGGGUGUGCCGCAUUUCAAUGUCAGCCCCCAUGUACAGCAGAGGGAUCAGACAUCACAAGUCCCAACUAAUAGAUCCGAUUGUUGCCAAAAGCCUUUGAGAGGGAGCAGACAGACAGAAAAAAGCUCCCAAGAUCCCUCUGUGAUUGAAUAAGCAUAAGGGGGGGAUUGGUUUUUGUAGCUGCCAUAACGAGCCUGCAGAUAUGACUGAAGUGGUCACAUCUAAAUAGGCGGGGUAGACAGACAGACAGAGGAGGUUUGACCGAGAGCACUAAGAAGAAUAGCAGAUGCUGCAGAUGAAAGAGCAGCAAGGCCCUCACUGGAGGGGUCUGUGGUACAGAUACCGACACAUGCACACAGCAAACAAAGAAAACAAAGUCUGCUAAUGUUCCACUGUGCUCUUUAAGAAGAUCUUGUUCUUUCCGGGAUGUUAUUCCCUGUCUAUCCACUGUCCUAUCCUCUCAAAUAAAGCAGGAAAUGCCCCAAAAUAAGUACAAAAAAGUGAAGAAAUGAGCUAAUAAGGCCACAUUACAACCCAAUAAAAAUAAUAAUAAUAAUAAAAAAAAAAAAUACUUAGAUUAUCCUCAGUUUGUCCAAUGGUAACAAAACCCCUUUUUAAUUAUUGUUACAAGAAGUUCAUCAUGUAUUACCUCCAGAAAAUCCACAAUUUUAAAUUAUUUAUUUUGUUAAACUUUUUAACUCUAUAUUGUUGGUUAUGUUAUUUAAUGGUAGAGCAUCAUGUCGGGUUUCUCCAUCAAGCGUUUAUCGUUUCAACAGAGAACAAGUAUAUUUUGUUUAUCUGAAAUGAUUUUCAUCAAAAUCCAUCUGUUUCUUGAUUGAGGAACAGGGAGUAACAACUUUCUUAACUCACACAAAUUUCUCGAGUGGUCAGAGGCAGGUGUAGAUUUUGUUAGCAUCGACAAACAAAUUGGAAAUACGGAAAUAUUGAUGCUAGUUUGCCUGUAAAUCAGUUUGGCUCAUAUUUCAUGAAGGAGACCCUCUAGUUUUUCCCCUUCUGUUAACCUGGGGAAGCAGCAUUUGUGACACAUACUGCAACCAGUCAGCAGGGGGAGCUCUAACUCUCAUGGCCUCAAGUCAGAUGGAGACCAGGGAUAUCCACCGCAUCUGGAACGGCUCCGAUCCGGAACGGCAGUGAUUUUUGCCGUACGCCAAUUCUUACCAGAUCCAUUUGUGAGGCGUAUUUUGCGGCAGUGAUCGUGAGAACUCACAAGAACCCGCAGAUUCACUUGCAAUCGUGCAAUAACAAGUUGUCUUUAUCCACAUAGGCUAACCAUAUACACAGUAGAUUGUGUCCUUCCAGAGGAGGAAAUCUACUUCUAAACUUAUAAAAUCAGCAUCCUCGCAUUCAUGGUGUCAACAGGGUAAAAUGCUGUCUAUGAACCUUUCACUUGUUCGUCCCUGCCCGUUUGCAUGGUGUGAAAUACAAUCCACCUGAAACACGGAGUGUUUUAUUUUGAAAAGAAGCUGGAUGUUUUAUUUUGUGUCUGUGCCCGACUUCCUUUCCAACACAGGUAAAUCUGUGCUCAAUUUAUCUGGCAUGCUGGGGCGUCCGGAAAAAUUAGAACUCUUGCGAUCAGCAGGGGAAUGGAAAAAGCUUGACGCAUUCACUUGAAUGGUUAUGAUCAGCUAUGAUAGGUGGAUACGACCUUUUUGUAGCUGUUCUGGAUGUGGUGGAAAUUGGGAGUUAUGGUGUCCUUUUGUAGAGAGUCUAACUAUAAGAGAAUUUAGAUAACUAUGUCUUUUAAUACAAACAGCUCCAUGUAGCUGUGAGAAAUAGUUUGUUCUGUCUUUCUUUCCAUCUCAGGGAAAAGUACAUUCAUCUAGAUUUGAGUCUUUCCCUUCACUGUCUCCCAUCAGUCUUGUUUGAGACAGGCAGGCAGACAGGGCACCCUGGUCAUGGCACGACAAGAACAACCACCGGGAUCAACCAUUUCCGCUGGUGUGUCUCCUCUCCUGUAGUGGUUGCUCCCUCCUACACACACAUACACACACACACAACCACCACACAUAAAAAAUAAACACACACCACAACUGGUCCCCCUCUGGAGAGAUCAAUUUCACGGGAUCACACGGCGAGCUCUGGUUCCCAGGCGCUCCUCACGCGCUCUGCAGACGUAGACGGUUCCCUCGCACAACCUGACUCCUGACCCUCCAUCAUUACCGGGGUCAGAGGAGCAGCAACCCCUCGCUGAAGGAGGUGGGGGGGAGCUUCUUUAUCCCAAGGCUGCAAAAGAUACCGACGGGAGGUUCAUUUUUUUCCCUCUCUUUCUUUUUUUUCUUGAGGCCAAAUGUCAAACGUUAAAACAUGUUUCAACUGUUCAGCCUUGUUAUCAAAUUAGUGGGUGAAGAUGUCUGAUUAUAUGUUUUUGAACCUCAGGAGUGUGUGUGUCUUGUGUAUGUUUGACAAAUGCGUGAAACUAAUGUUGUUUUUCGCCUCAAAAUUCGACAUACCUUCAUGUCAAGCUUAGAGGUCACACUGCCGCCGAAUCAAAGGAUUAAACCCAGAGCGGUGUGAACACAAACUGUGAAUUUCUUACGCUGUUCCUGAACUUCUGUCACGUACCAGCUGGUUCUCUUCACUUGAAUCUCAGCUGCCACUCUCACUAUGAUUAAUUUUUUUGUAACAUAAAACGUCAAAACAGAGCAAAUUUCAGUUUUCAGGGUUACGGGGCUAACUCGAAAGCGUGACUGGGUCAAAUGCACGGCAAAUAAUCACCUCAAGCUGAGAUGAAAGUAAAAUUUCUGCCUUUGUUCUCUGACUUUCUCUCACUCUGUCCUCACUGUGACCACCCACAAGGAGUUUCACCGGCUUUAAACAUGAGUCACACCCAGACCCCUCAAAACCGGCCAUUCUGCUUCCCACUUUACCCCCGCAUAAGAAUCAGACAGUGCCGACUUUUUGUAAAUAAUCGGCUGCAGGUACAUCAGUCUUUUUCAUGUUUUUUUUAUGCAACAACUGGGAGUCGAAUGCCAAGUUCUGCCCCCCCGUCCACCUGUUGAAUCCAGAUCUCACAUGUACAGACUGAGGAUUAGAGGACCAUUAAGAAGAUCAGAGAAUUUCAGAUGAUGGGGGUGUGUUCGGGCCCUCGGAGUUUCCUGUAACUAAAAGAAAAAUUGCAGACAUGAUCCCUCAAACAUAUGUCCGUCAAGUCUGCUGUCUGGGAAAUACUACAGGUGCCUCAUUGAGCUCUCCACUAAGAUUAAGAACAGAUUUAUGACCGAACCAUGUCAGAUAGCAGUUGAGCUAAUGCUGCAUAAAUACCUUACUCUACUUUUAACUGAUUCUCUUUUUUCUGCUAUUUUGAUGAUAAAAAAACACCCUACUUAUGGACUGUAUUUGUCGCACGUAGUUACCACAGCCAAAGCCCAACACAGCACAUAAAUAAACACUGUGGUUUCUCAUGACAUGAUGCAACAAAUGAUGCUCAGAGGACUGAAUGUGUAUUGAAAUAGUCCCACAGAUACGAUUAACAUUGAAAAUUUUGGUCCUUUCAGCAGUAAUAUAUAUUUACCUUACUUUUAUUGUCGAUUUUAAGUGGAAUAAGUCCUUAUUUUUCACAUUUUCUACUAGAUAUAAAGCUAUUCAAACAGAUUCGUUUCAGUUUUUUGUGAUUUCUUUGUUUUGUUACACAGAAGUUAAAGCUCCUGUUAGGAACUUUUGGUUUGUGUCAAUGUUGAUUCCUCUUUUGUACAAAGCAGUCUCUGUUAAUCGUGUUCUUUACAUGCUCUCAUCCUGUUGCGAUUAAAAAUAGAUGUGUGCGAAUUGUAAAAUGUAUUUAGGGGCACGUGUGCAUGAAAAAAAUCAACUUAUGCAACAAAUGGUUUUUCAUGUGAAUACCGCUGUGAAGUUAGUUUUAGGUCGGAUAUCUGACGGACAUUAACUGCGGAUCUACCGGUUUCUUAGCAACAGCAGCGCGGUUAAAUCUACUCUGCACCCUUGUUGUCGACGUCAAGUGUUGAAUAAGGGACCGUCAAUAAAUUACUGGUUGAUGUUCUCAAAAAUGGCUGUUUUCCUUCAAUAGCUUCCAUGUCAUGUGACCAAUUGACCUAAAAUUGAUUUCAAAUGAUAGAACUUAUGUCGACCAAUAAGGCACACAUUAGUUGAUCAGUUUUCAUUGUGCCUGUAAAAGAGCACACGUGGUCCUAAGUUGAAAAAAGUUAGUGUCAAGCCCUUAAUAGUCAAAUGUUUAUUAGGAAAUUGUAAAAACAGGGCUGUUUAACUGACACCUACCCCCUUACAUUGGUUUCAAGCAUCAACUUUGGCUGUAUGCAAAUCAUCAGUCUCGUCACUGAUGGUCUUAUUGAGAAGGCAUCACUAUGAAUUCCACUCUGUAUGAUAAAGGUAAAAAAGUAAACUCACAGGAGCUUUAAAUUUAGAUAUUUUUGAGCCUUUUUUAAAUACUUUUCUUCACACAAACAGUGAUACAGAUAUUUUAGCAGAAACACAGCGCGACCAAAAGAUGUAGAAAUAUGAUCCAGAUCCAUUCAUUAAAAAAUAACUGCAUGUUUUGAGGGAUGAUGAACAGCAAACAAAAGCAUUUAUAAACAAAUAAACUAAAAAUAAGAUCACAAAAAUGAGACAAACCCCCUGUUGUUUUCAGAGUAAUUUAUUUAUUUAAACAAAGGUAAAAGUUUGCUAAUAGAAAAGAUUAAAAGAAGAUGUCUGUUAAAAAAAAAAGGAAACACUUGUCCUGUAUCGUCCACACUCAGUUUCUCCCACUCCCUCUGUUUCAGUGUGUGACAGAGAGUGAAGGAGGAGGCCUCAAACACUUCUUAUGGAGGGGACGAGCCGGAGAUAAGUGUCAGUGGGUCAACUCUGACACUUCCCUCACACGCUGAGAAAUGUGUUAAGUGUCGACCCAAGUGAAGGAGAGGACCCCGCCAACAAAACUCACAAGGGAACCGUCAGCGAUUGACAAUGGCUAACAAUGAAACCAGGUUCAAACCUCCGCCCUCCUGAAGGACAAUACUCACCCCUGCCUCACAAACCGCUCACCCCUAAGACAUACAUUCAUAAACAAUGCCUCUCUCUCUUUUG